AUUACAUUUUAAACCCUAUACUUUAGAGGUGGUUCAAAUUAAGGGGUGAAAUUUUUUAGCAUGUGUGUUUGUGUGUUGUUGCCUUAUCUUGUCUUUUGGAUUCAUAAUGAGCUGUUGAGGGUUCAGGCUAAAGCUUCCCUUUCCCACAAUGAUUUAAAUUUUGUUUUUAUGUUUUUUAAUUUGUUAAAAUUGAUAUGCUAUUCUCUUAAGAUAUAGAUAAAGAUUUAGAAAGAGAACUUGUAACCUACUGGUUGUUGAAUAGAAUAAAUCAUGACAGUAUGAGUAUCAGAUUACUAGCUAGUUCUUAUUGACAAUUUAUUUUUACCUCUAAUACAUACAUAUAUUUGAUUAACUCUGCAGACUAACAUUACAGCCAUAGAUAAAACAGUAACGGUUGUGUUGGAUAUUGAGAGACUUGCACAAUCCUCAGACAGAGGUUGGGGGAGCCCAAAAGUGACUGAGUGGCAGCUUGUUUGAAGUUUACAUUCUUCUUUCCGUGGGCAAACACUGGGAUUGCUAAAGGGUGAGUAAGAUCUACUUCUUAAUUCCCUUAAAUUGUAAAAUAAUGUGGUGGGUUGUUGUUUAGGAGCAAGCAGGUGGCUUGCAUGGAGAGAAAAGGUGGAAUAUAUUGGGAGUGUUGUUUGUUUUGUGAAUGUUAACAUAUUGUUGUUCAAUUUGUUGUCAAUUUCUUGUAUUUUGUCUAAGUAAAUACAUAUAGUAUGCUAUGGUGGGUGGUAGUUGGAGAGAAAAGGUGGAGUAUUUUCUAUUAGGAGUAUUGUUUGUUUUGUGACUUAUAUUUUUGAAACUCAAUGUGCAAUGGUGAAAUUGUAGUGUAGGUGCGCCUCAUAACAUCCUAGACACUUGGGAUGUUUUAUUUUGUGUAUAUAUAACAUUCUAGACAUUUGGGAUGUAAUUAUAGAUAUGGUGUAAUUAAAUAUAUUUAGUUUCUUGGUUUAA